GACGAACGCUGGCGGCGUGCCUAAUACAUGCAAGUAGAACGCACAGUUUAUACCGUAGCUUGCUACACCAUAAACUGUGAGUUGCGAACGGGUGAGUAACGCGUAGGUAACCUGCCUGGUAGCGGGGGAUAACUAUUGGAAACGAUAGCUAAUACCGCAUAAUAUUAAUUAUUGCAUGAUAAUUGAUUGAAAGAUGCAAUUGCAUCACUACCAGAUGGACCUGCGUUGUAUUAGCUAGUAGGUGAGGUAACGGCUCACCUAGGCGACGAUACAUAGCCGACAUGAGAGGGUGAUCGGCCACACUGGGACUGAGACACGGCCCAGACUCCUACGGGAGGCAGCAGUAGGGAAUCUUCGGCAAUGGACGAAAGUCUGACCGAGCAACGCCGCGUGAGUGAAGAAGGUUUUCGGAUCGUAAAGCUCUGUUGUAAGAGAAGAACGGGUGUGAGAGUGGAAAGUUCACACUGUGACGGUAUCUUACCAGAAAGGGACGGCUAACUACGUG
rnacentral:rRNA from 1 species